CUUGUGAGUUGCCCCUCUGCCCACAUUUUGUUCUGUGGAGGUAGAGAGAAGUACAGUAAGGCGUAAUCAGGUGGAAGGUGUGGUUGGUAGAAUAAUGUCUCCCCUAAAGAUGUCCAUACCCGAAUCCCAGGAACCUAGACCUCCGCUACUGUGAAUCUUGGGACCAAAAAUAUGCAAUCUUUUCAUCGGAUCAUUGAGAAGUUCCUGUCCUUUCAGAACAGAGGCAGGCUGUGUCCCUGAGGAUCUACAAACGGUAAUUGGAUUGUAACUGUGCAAACUGUCCUUAUUAGGAAUCAACCAAAGAAUGUUGGAAGCCACUGGUGAAACCCCUGAGAGCAAGAUAAAGCACAUAGGAUGCCUUCUUUGUUUAGGACAAAUUCUCAGUUCUUAAAUUAUAUUUUAAAACUACUGACUCCAUUUUUCUAACACUAGCCAC
rnacentral:lncRNA from 1 species